GAUGAACGCUAGCGGCAGGCUUAAUACAUGCAAGUCGAGGGGCAGCAUGAUUGUAGCAAUACAAUUGAUGGCGACCGGCAAACGGGUGCGGAACACGUACACAACCUUCCAACAAGUGGGGGAUAGCCCAGAGAAAUUUGGAUUAACACCCCGUAACAUAGCGAUGUGGCAUCACAUUGCUAUUAUAGAUUUUUCGCUUGUUGAUGGGUGUGCGGCUGAUUAAAUAGUUGGCGGGGUAACGGCCCACCAAGUCUACGAUCAGUAGCUGAUGUGAGAGCAUGAUCAGCCACACGGGCACUGAGACACGGGCCCGACUCCUACGGGAGGCAGCAGUAAGGAAUAUUGGACAAUGGACACAAGUCCGAUCCAGCCAUGCCGCGUGAAGGAUUAAGGUCCUCUGGAUUGUAAACUUCUUUUAUAAGGGACGAAAAAAGGCUUUUCUAAGUCGUCUGACGGUACCUUAUGAAUAAGCACCGGCUAACUCCGUGCCAGCAGCCGCGGUAAUAC
rnacentral:rRNA from 1 species